GGGGAGGAGCGGCGCGGCGCGGCGUGCAGGCGAGGGAGGAGCGGCGGCGGCGACGCAUGUCCACGGCACCGGCUGAGUCGGCGGCGGCGGCUCCGGGCAAGGAUAGGGUCGCCGUCGCCGUCCGUCCUCUUCUCCUCCACGGUCGCGGCGUGAGCGCGAGACUCUCGGCGCGGCGGUGCUCAUGGUCUCCUCGUCAGCGCCAAGGACGGGGCGACCACGGCGGCCUCAGUCCAGAGCGGAGAGACCGGGGGAGAGUGGAGGCCGCCGCCGCCGCCUUGCUCCCCCCUCCGCCGCCUACGCCUUGCUCCUGGUCGCCGGACUCCACCCGCUCCCACCGCCUCAUCCUCGGAACCCACACCUCCGACGAGAAGCCCAACCACCUCUUGCCCGUUGACGCCGCCCUCCCGCUUCCGCCCCGCCUGGCGCGCGCGUUGGAUGCGGACGGCGGCAUUUCCUCCGCUGGCGCGACGCCGGCCGUCGGACCUCCUCCUCUCCCCUCCCCCCGGCGGCCUUCUCCCCACAGCGCUGCCCGUCGCCGGCCUGGGAAAAGUGAGAGAGAAAGGGAGAAGAGGGGGAAUAUGAGAGAGGUGAUGAGGUGGCAUCCUGACAUGUGGGGCCCACGUGGGUCCCAUGCUGACUCAGCCGCCACAUAGACUAAAACCGGGGUCAAAACCACCGAAGGAUCUCGGGGGACCGGUUUUAUAUAGUUAAGGGACCUCUUAUAUCUGGUUUUACGGUUCGAGGAUGUUUAUGUAUCCCGAUAACAAGUUGAGGGACCUUCGGUGUACUUUUUCCUUCCAACAAAGCUAUAUGUGAUAAAUGGGCUUCUCUUUCCUUUCUAAACUAAGGUCAAGUGCAGACUGGGCCUUGUAGACACAGGCGUUGGGCCUUACCAUGGAACUAAACGGGCCAUGAGGCCGGCCGCGUCAGGACAAGCUGCUCGAUCGACUGCUGGCUGGCACCCCGGAUAGACUAAUGCUUGAACGCCUGGCUCAUCAGAUGCAUGCCACUCGCUGGCUGGCACAAUAUCCAUAUAUAGCGGUAAUUGUGUUCUCGCCUAUGCUCUUAGAUGCAAUUGUUACUCUGCCUAUGUUUUUUAAGGUUUAUAAUUUUAACUCUUAUUUUUUUUAAAACGAACCAACUGUUUGCCCCUAGUUUCGACCAACCAACUAGCUGUUUUGUCUCUGUUUCGUUUUAAAAGAAGAAGGGUUUGCGUCCAAAAAAAAUUUGCGUCAAAAAAGAAGAAGGGCAAAAUCAUAAAAAAGAAAACAGAGGUAAAAUCAUAAUUGCAUCUAAAGGUUGGAGGCAAGAACACAAUCUCCCCAUAUGUUGUAUAUGGUCACUGAAUUCUCAAGUGUCUUUGUACCAUAUGUCCAUAUAGUCCCCACUGUACGUUCUCUCCAUUCUUCUUUAAUUGAACCAUAUCUUGCUUGAA